UACAGAGGGUGCGAGCGUUGUCCGGAUUCACUGGGCGUAAAGGGAGCGCAGGCGGACCGGUGUGUCAGAUGUGAAACCCCAGGGCUCAACCCUGGGACUGCGUCUGAAACUGCCGGUCUAGGGACUCGGAGGGGCUAGUGGAAUUCCUGGUGGAGCAGUGAAAUGCGUAGAUAUCAGGAGGAACACCAACGGCGAAGGCAGCUAGCUGGACGAGAUCCGACGCUCAGGCUCGAAAGUAUGGGGAGCAAAAAGG
rnacentral:rRNA from 1 species